rnacentral:lncRNA from 1 species
AUAUGGCAGGUGAUAUCCGUUAGGAUUUGGUUAGAUUUGUAGUUGAAUCGUAGUUGGAUAAAUAUUAAUAUUUAAAUCUAUUGGAGAUAAUUAACAUUUAAAUAUUAAUUAGAAUAUAAAUCUAACUAGAUUAGGAUAAAUAUUUAAAUCUAUUGGAGAUAAAUCAAUUAAAAUUUAAAUAUUUAUUGGAGUAGGAAUCCUAAAUAUAUUAGGAUUGGGGUACGUUUUGUUGGAGCUUUAUAAAUAGCUCUUGAUGGGAUGCUUUUGGAGAGUGUAUGGUGAGAAAUCCCUUGGGUAGUGUCGUACCAGGAGAGAGAAACCUAUAUGCUUUGAGUGCACCUAGUGCACGGGUGCACGUAGAUAGUUGUCUUCUUUGUGGAUUUAUAGAAGACGAGAGAAGGGUAGAAGAGAUUCAGAAAGAGGGCUCGGGUUGUAACUACUCUAUUCAGAAAAGGAGUCAGGUGUAAUAUUCUCUUAUUUAAUGAAUCUUAUUUUACUCGCAUAUUUUCGGAUUUGGUUUUUUCUCUUUUUAUCUUCGCUACCAGCGACAUAUGAGCAUCUGGUGACCACGUUGCUUUAUGGCAAGGAGACCAUAAGUGUGGAGUCAGUCACGGCGGCAUUUCUCUCGAACGAUGACUCAGGAGUCUGGCACGCAAAGUCGGGAUAUUACUUUGGUAGUGAAAGCGAAGAAUGAGGCGGCAAUAUCAGCGAUCGAAGAUCAACAGAAGAAGUCGCUAUCCGAGCUGGAGUGCUUCUACUGUCAUAGGAAAGGACAUAUAAAGCGCAACUGUCAAAAGCUUCAGAAUGAUCUGAAGGAGUUAAAGCGACAAAAGGAGAAAACUGUCGUGAACCAAGAUGAGACGAUAUCAACGAAGGGGCAGGCGGCAGAAUCGGAGAUGAUCGAUUCUGAUGUGCUGUAUGCGGCGACCGAAGGUGCUAAAAUUUGGAUGACGCGUGGGUGCUCGAUUCGGCAUGUUCCUUUCACGUAUGCUCGGAGAAGGAGUCUUUUGCUACCUAUAAGGUAAAUAAGGAUGGAAAGGCUCUGAUGGGGAACGGGACGGCGUGCAAAGUUUUGGGAGUCGACACAGUGAAGAACCGAAUGCACGAUAGGGUCGUGAGGACGCUGACAGGUGUGCGACAUGUUCAUGGCUUGAAGCGAAAUUUGAUCUCGUUAGGGGUAUUGGACUCGAAAGGUUGCGAUUUUUCAGCUUCAGGUAGAGCUAUGAGAGUCCGAAAGCGAGAUCGGAUCAUGUGCGAGGCAAACAAGCAUGAGAACUUAUACGUUCUGAACGGAAGGACAGUCAGAACGGGAGCGAAGGCGAUUUGGGUUCUAAAAGUUUGCGGAUGUGCAGUCGCUCGAGGCCGAGCGGCGAAUGCGGUGACAUCGAGCGGAGGAGACAAGCUCAAGAUGGAGUUUGUAUGGUGAGCUCGAUGCAGCGGUUGAAGACUACAAAUCCAACUAAGGUGGAGAAUAUUAGGAUUUGGUUAGUUUGUGGUUAAAUCCUACUUGGAUAAGAAUUAAUAUUUAAAUUUAUUGGAGAUAAAUUAAGAUUUAAAUAUUAAUUAGAGUAUGAAUCUAACUAGAUUAUGAUAAAUAUUUAAAUUUAUUAGAAAUAAAUCAAUUAAGAUUUAAAUAUUUAUUGGAGUAGGGAUCCUAAAUAUAUUAGGAUUGGGGUACGUUUUUGGUGGAGCUUUAUAAAUAGCUCUUGAUGGAAUGUUUUUGGAGAGUGCACGACUGAGAAAUCCUUUCGGUAGUGUCGUACCGGGAGAGAGAAACCUAUAUGCUUUGAGUGCACCGAGUGCACGGGUGCACGUAGAGAGUUGUUUUCUUUGUGGGUUUAUAGAAGCGAGAGAAAGGUAUGAGAGAUUCAGAAAGAGGGCUCGGUUUGUAACUACUCUAUGCAGAAGAGGAAUCAGGUAUAAUAUUCUCUUAUUUAAUCAAUCUUAUUUUACCCGCAUAUUUUCGGAUUUGGUUUUUUCUCUAUUUUAUGAUUGUAUCAGCUUUUGCUGAGAAGACGAGUUUAUAAUAAAAACUCGAUUUGACACUUCCAUUGCGGAAUCCUAAUAAUCAGUACCGGAUCAACAGCAGCUGGUAUCGAAGCGGGUUGCGGAUUCACAAAAUUCGAUACUGACGUGAGUACCGAAAUUCCAACAUCCAUUUCCUUAAUAUCGGGAUUCUGCUGAGAAUUCUGCAGAGUUUGAGUGUGGAGGUUAUAACUAGCCCUAUGUAGAAGAGAAAAGUAUCCUUUUUCCAUACAAUUGAACUCUUGAGAAUAACUUGGAGCCGCAGUAAAUCAGUAAAAUAGUAUCUAGUAGCUAGUGGUGGAGCUAAGGGCUGGGCCCAGGUGGGCACGUGCCCACCAGUAAUUUGCUUUCCUACUUUUUUUUCUUGAUAAAAUUUAGAACAUGCACUAUGUGAACGCAUAAAAAAUUGCAUCUCUCCUUUUUUUUAUCUUAGAAAAUAUAAAAAUUUAAUUAUAAAAUAGAUAUUUAUUUGUUCAUAUAUUUAAAUAUUUAUAAUUUAUAAUUUUUUAAUUAGAGUGUUAUUACUCGAUAAAAUUUAUUUAUUUGGUUAUUUGUUAUACUAUUUUUAUCUUUCUGAUUAUAGAAUAGUUUGGCAGUAGCAAUAGUUCAGUAGCCUUUUGUAGUAGUACUUUCAGGCAAGGAUUCAAGUGCCGGCCGUGCCACACCGUGUCGGUGCUGCACGUACCGUGCCACCAAGAAAGGGGCACAGUAUAGCGGGGAGGACCCCCCUUCCCCCCCCCCCGUGUAAGAUCCUUGGUGUUUGGCGGUUGAGGCUUGACGACAGUUCUGGAGAGUGUCGGGACAAGUCUGAGUCACGUUGGCAUGAAACAGACGCAAAACGAACUCUGUGCGACGCGAGAGCAGCAUUUAGCAAGAAAAUCUGUAAAUAGCAGUUUCCUACUUGCUGUACCGGUACAGACAUCACGGUGUACCGGUACACUGCUCAGGGCUUCACGCAGCUUGCUCUCGGGUUGGCCACUGUACCGGUACACGGGCCCGUGUACCGGUACGCCAAGGUAGGUAGGAGGACUUUUUGGUCUUUUUCCACCUCGUUCGUAUUACCCUUUCUCUCUUACUGUAUUUAGGCUUGUGUAGAGCUGAGAGAGUGAGUUUUCCAUGUCCUUAUUCUCCUCUCUCUCUAGCUUGGACCGUGGGCAAGGAGGAGCUCGGGUGGAGUUCGAGUGUCGUCGACGUCGCGCCGCGGUGCCAUUCGAGUGUGUCUUCAUCGUCGUGGUGCUGCGAAGAGGCUGGGUGAGCGUGGUUUUUCGCCGUCUUCGACGUUGCGCCGAUUCUAGAGGGGUUUUCGAGGUGAGUGAUCCAUAGACAUCGCUUCAACUACUUUAAGCUCAAGGAUGUUGUUUUUGCAGAUUUCCUGCAUCGACCGUUGGCGUUUCGGCUCGUGUACGACGUAGGAGCGUCAGAUUGCAGUGAGACUUGGUUCGUUGGAUUCAGGACUUCGAGAGGAAUCCACGAAGCCCAAGAUUGCAGGAUUUGGUGAAGGUUAGCUUGGUCGAACCUUAUUUUACCCUGCUGUUGUUAUACAUGGACAGAAUUGAUGGAUUUCGAUUGUAGAGCUUGGAGUUAGCUCGAUUUCUAGACUUGGAGGACUUCGGUCGAUCCAGCAGGUUAUUCCACAGCUGAGGGAGUUCUUUGCUGCCAGGGAUUAGCAAUUAAAGUGGGUUUAUCAUCGGUUUUGCUCCUAAGUAUAUGUAUAGUAAACUUGUAUAGUUUCGACUUCGGAAUAUCCUGUUGUAGCUCAAAUUCAUCGGUUGGUUUAUUGUAUGAAAGCUGAAUUGAGAGCAUGAAUAGUAAUUAGUUGAAUAUACAUGUUGGACUUGAAAUUUGACUUAGAAGAAAACUAGCGAUUCGACCUGUCAUAUGAUUCUACUACCUGAUUUAGCUCUAGGAGCCGUGGUUUGAUUGUAUCACUGUUGUUUCAGCGCGGUGGAUAUCCGGGGUAGUUUAGAAUGCAUUUACGCUCGGACGGGAUGCCGAGCUUGGGUAAUAUUUAACUGUAGGUUCUACACUGUCUUUUCUGCUCCCUCCUUAAGCUUUUGUGCUUUGUAUUCCCGCUGUUAGUGCGCAAUUGAUACUCAGAUAGCUUCUGAAGCUGUUGUGCUUCGUAUCCCCGCAUGCGCAUUUGAUACUCAGAUAGCUUCGGGAGUUGUCGCGGAUAGUAUCCACACUGUUGUGUGCUUUUGAUACACUGAAAACUUAGGAGCUGUAGUAGAACUGUAUCACCGCAGUUUGUUGGUGCUGGAUACCCGAAAUAGUGUAGAAUAUAGUUACGCUCGGGCGGAGACGCAGAACUUAUUUUUACAGCAGUGUCUAGGCUGCUUCAGACUGUCGGGUGCCGUCAGGAUUGACGGUGGACCAGAUUGCGGGUUUUGCAUCAGCUUGUGCCGAGGGCACGUGAGUCUUGAUUGUUAGACCAGUUGAACCCUAUUUAAUUGAUUAUAGCCUGUAAGAGCCUGAUUGAGCUCAGUAGAGAUACGCUUGCAUACUCGGUUGGGUAGCGCCCACGAGUGCCACUCCGAAGUCGGGCUUUGUGCGUUUGCGUUGUAUAGUGUCCUGGUUGGACUUGCUCUCCACGGACUUGUUAGUGUGGAGGUAGCAUUUAGGAUUCGACAGGCGGGACGGGUGCGUUCACAGUCCCUGGGACGGGUGUUUUCACAGUCCCUAUGGAUUUGGGUCUGAGGCUGCAUUACUCGACAGAUAGUAGUAUUGGAUCAUGUUAGGAUAGUGGCAUAUAGCUGUAGAUUUGUUCUAGCUUCCUUUUCUAUCACUGAGCUUAGAUCUGUAGACUUAGUGGGCCGACCGAUGAUAUUGAGGGCGGCACCCACUGAGGACUACUUGUUUUACAGUAGUUCUCGUGCCCUGUUUUUAUCCCGUUUUUGUAGAGCUAUCGUCUUCGGCUGCUGCUGUUGUAUCUUGGAUUUGGCGUAUGUAUAUGGAACUCGGUUUGUUUUUAUUACUGGUUCUUCUAGCAGCUCUAUACUACUGUUUGUAGUAUUGUAUGAUUUACAGGUACAGCUAUGCUUCGUAUACAGGAAAAAAAUUUUUGUAUACGACGGAUUUGUCGGCGUGCUCGGGGAACGUGUAAUCCGGGGCGUGACACACCGUACCGCGGUAUGUGGGGUCGUGCCGCACGAGACAGAGCGGCACGACGAUGCGUGUCGCGGCACAGUGUCGUGCCGGCACUGUGCAUUUUUUUUUUAUGUUUUGUUUUAUUUUUGGGGUAGCCGAAGUAUUCUGGAUACCCUACAACCCCCAAAAUAUAUUGCAAAUCGAAAAUCUAGGCAAGUCAAAAGAAUUAUAAUUUAAUUUUUUUGUUUAUCAAUAUAGGGCAAAUUUUUAAUUUACAUAUCCAAUCCCUCCGCUUCCAUCAUAGGCAUCCAUCUUUUCUUCACAAAUUAUUUUAUCAAAAUUUGUCGCAAAGUGAAACUUUUACCAAAUUGGGGAAACAAAAUCGAACUCAAUAAACAAAUUUUAAGGCACAUCAAAUAUAAAAUUUUAUUUUUGCGUUAUAAAAUUGAAAAUACUGAUAAAAUUAAAAGUUAAAUUAAAUUAAUUGAUACUUAAAUUAUUUAAUUUAUUUGAAAAAUUAUUUUUUUGUAUUUUAUAAAAGAAAGACAGUAAUAUAGUCAAAAGAAAAAAGAAAAAAAAAAGAUGUCUUUACAUUUUAAAAAUUUUAAUCUGCAAAAUUUCUAUUUUGCAUCAGAUAUAGUUGUACUUUAUAUUUAAAAAAGUUUACAACUAUGUUAAUUAAUGAGUAUAGUAAGCUAUACAUAGCAAAUAUUCAUAAUUAUUUUAUUAAAUCUUUCAAAAUAAUAUUAUAAGAGUUUAUUGAAAUAAAAAAAAUAAAAUAAGUCCAUGCCAAAGCGUACCAGUAGGAGGUCAUGCGUAUCCAUUGGCACGCAAGCGUACCAUGUGUCACGCCCCACAAUCGCCUAUUUGGCCGACUUGGGUACGCCGAACAGACACCGAACGGGCAGAGUUUUUCCUGUCCGCCCAAGGCUCAACAAUGAUCAUGUACAUCUAGUUGCCCAGGAAUAACAUCACCAAUAUACAUGAUACCACGCUAGUAAUCAUACAAGCGAGCAAGAGAGAAAAUCUAACUAUUACAUUUGACAUUCAACCAUUUUUACAAGUUUCCACCAAUGAACAUAAGUUGUUUUACUACUUGCAUCCAAAAUGAUACAUAAGGUUUACGACUCCUCAUAAUACAUGAAUAUCUCUAGCAACCUCACCAAAAUACAUAAAUCUCUCAAAAGGAAACUCCCAAAAUGGUGCCUAACUCUAAUGCAUAUAGGUGGUCGCUAGCUAAUUAGGGCGCUAUGUCCUUAUCGCGGUCCUCAACCUGUCCACCUAAACUCAGCCCUGCAACAAAGUGGGAUGAGAACUAAUAAAUAGCUCCCAGUGAGUUCGGCUACCAACGCCGCCGAUUUUUUCACUAGGUCUAAGCAGGCAAAAGUAGAAGGGUUAGCCAAUUAAUAAUAUUCCUAUCAUGCUACUAUGCCUUUACAAUAUGAACAAUAAGCAAGUAAGGUAAAUAAUAGUAGCAACUACUAUGCUCAUGAUGCAUGACAUUUACCUUUGUUUUCAUAACCCAAUCAAUCCGGCUUACCCGAAGGUUAAGCCUCGACUCACAACCAAAUCCCUACUAAUCGUGAGAAGCAACCAUACACUCACCCGGGACCGUCUGCGGGACAGCUACGUUAGUCCCUACUGUGAAGUACUUCGAAGACCACGCUUGGGUGGAGUGACCACCGCCAAGCAAAACAGACGAAUGUGAGUAUAAUCCAAUCCUCUAAACCGAGGAUACCCUACCAACUAGUGGUAAUCAAAUCCGGGAACACCAAUCCCAAUACUUAUAACUUGAGUAGUCACAUUGUUUCUAGCCAAAUGUCACAAGACUACAAUGUCUCUAACUAAUGCCACAAUGUUACCUUUGUCUCUAGCUAAUGCCACAAGGUUACAUUUGUUUCUAGCUAAUGCCACAAUGUUAUGUUUACAUUUCAUGUCAAGGUCGCUUCUAAUGCCCCAAUGUUCAAGUCCUUAUUCAUGUCAAUAUAGAGUUUCUUUGUUUUCGACCCAAUUCUCAUACUCUUAGCCACUAUGAAUCAUAUCAUGCUUCCACAUAUACCAUAAGAGAAUGCAAGAAUUGAAAAUAACAAGCAUCUACUCUACAAUGCAUGUAUAGUAUAUAUGAACAAAUGCAUGGCAAUGAAGGAACUUAGACAUAAAGAGAAAUCCGGAUGUUCCGGAUAGCACCCCCCAGCUCUAAAUGAUGUUGAGGUGCUUGGAUUCUAAUUUCGUGAUUUGUGGACAUCGCCUCGGCCUUCCAGGUGGAAACGAAGCAAAAACGGUCCUUUUCUUCGAUUACCCGUCACCCGAGUCGUAGGAACUUCGAUUUGAGUUGCCCACAACAUUAACUUUACUUUCAAUUAGGUUUACAAAGGGUCAAUUUAACAAUAAACCCUAAUUCCACAAAAAUCCUAAUUUCAACCCUAGAGUUCAAUGUCAAAAGCACCAUGGUUCCAACAGGGGAUUCUAGGGUUAUAUAGGUCUCUAAUCUUGCAAGAGACUCAAAACAAAGAGAUUUAGGGCAUAAAACCAAGCCCUAGCAAGGAUCUUGCAAGAAACCUCACCUUACCCAACUAGCUAUCCAAGCUCCACAUUGUAGGAGAGCUCUAGAUCUUCCAAACUCCAAGAAUCUCCUUUAAUGUCCUCCAAAUCUCCUCCAAAUCACCUUGGGGGAGAGCUCCUAGAGACAGAGAGGAAGAAAAAUGGUGUUGGAGGUGUUCUCUUGGCUGUGAACAAGAGAUGAGGAAUGGGGUUUUUUUAUAAGCCUCCACAAUUGCAAAAUAGCCCUCCAACUCCCUAUAUUUGCAGCAGCCUACAAACUGCUGUCGUAGUGCAGUGUACCGGUGACACGGGCUGGUGUCACCGGUACGCCAUUCAGCAACAGCCAAACCCGAGAGCUGCUGUUCUCGGGUUGCAGCAGGGUAACCUAAUGCCGCGAAGCAGCGGCAGAUCUUUUUCUAAAAUUAAGAUUAUUCAAUACUUCACUAACCAAGACUGCCUUCACUUGGUACACGAGCUACCUGCUAAUUCUCUCCGAGACUAGGACGAAUUAAAGGAUAAAUUUCAUGAGCAAUUCUAUAGAACCGAGCCGGAGUUGUCGGUUGCAGAUUUGGCUCAAUUUAGACAAAAAACAGGAGAAUCGGUUGAUGAAUAUUUGAACCGGUUCAAGACGGCUCGAAGCCGAUGUUUUGUAAGGAUGCCGGAAUCAGAAUUUGCCAAAAUGGCAUUUAACGGCAUGCAUUUUAAAAUUAAAGAUCAUUUUGAGGAUAAGUUCUUUCCAAAUCUUUUUGAUUUAGGAGUUCGAGUUGCUCAAUACGAGCAAUUUCGAAAAGGGAAUAAUGAAGAUCGGCCUAGAUGGAGCCGAAACAAGGAUUGGGGUAAAGGGAAAGAGAAAAAUAUUUCUUUUUUUGAAGAAUCCUCGGCUCAUGAAGAGCCGAAUUCAUCUGAAGAGGCAGAAGAUUCGGCUGAUGAGGCCGAAAUCUGUGCUGCCGAGAUGGUGAGAAACAGUCAACCGUACAAAUGUGCUUUGCUGAAGCAUGCAAAAUCAAGAGAAGCAAAGGCACAAAUAUCAGCAUUUAGUUAUUCAUUUGACAUAACAAAGACCGAUCUUAUUUUCGAUCGGUUGUUAAAGGAUGGACGAAUUAAAUUACAGAAAGGUCAAACUAUACCUCCUGUAGAAGAACUGAAACGCAGAAGAUACUACAAAUGGCACCAUUCAUGGAGCUAUAAAACUAGCGAAUGUACUGCCUUUAAGAGGCAAAUUCAAAAAGAGAUAAAUGAGGAUCGGCUGAUCUUUGCCGACCAAGAAAAUAAAGAUAUGAAAAUUGAUAAGAAUCCUUUUACAUCACAGGUCAACGCCGUGAACAUAAAAAGGAAAGGAAAAGCGACUGCGAAAAGGCAGAUACAAGAAGAAAUAGAGGAGGGUCGGCUCAUAUUGGCCGACCAAGAAAACGAAAAUAAAAUAAUUAACAAAAGUUCAUUUCCAUUUCAGGUCAAUAUGGUGAAUAUUAAAGGAAAAAAAGUUUUGGACAAGGAGACCGCUGACAACGUGGCCCAUGCCAAGAAACACCUUUGGCUAUGCAUCAGGUGCAAGGCCGAAAUGACGAAAAAAGACUGGGAAGCCAUUGUGAAUGCCAAGAAAAAGGGGAACGAAUGGAAUGAGCUGAUGGCGUUCCCUGAGGAUUGGGAUGACAUUCCUGAUGGCAAAGACCAAGAAGAAGAAUGCUCGGAUGUAGCCUCUAAUGAUACUGAACCGGAAGUAGAUUCGGUUCAACGCAAAAAAGAUAUACUCAUGUAGAAGAUUCUGCAUGAUUACUACAACAACAGGUGUGGAGAACGUCAUGGCCGAUGGGACUACCAGGAUAGACCAUUCAACUCCAAGCAAAGGUUCCCUGGAUAUCGGCCAGACUGGCAACAGCAAGCCAGGCCGAGACCAGAACCGGAAUUUGAAGGAAUGACCGAGGGGGACAUAGAAUUCCUCGGUCGGAGGCUAGUCAACGAACUCGACAUUCAGCCUUGGCCGAGACCAUGGGAAAGAAGAAAAAUUCUAAAAAAUCAUUUAAGAAUAGUAAAAGUACCGGCAAACGUGCCAGUGGACGAAUGGCACGAAGUCGAAGUUAAACCAUCAGCCAGAUGGCAGGGGCCGAUGUUAACAAAAACCCAAAAGCAUCGGCAGCAGAGGGUGCAAGCCGAGGCACGUCAACAUUAUGAAGAGGCGAAAGGGAUGAGGCUCAAUGUAUGGAGACGCCUGGAUGAGCAGCCACACCCUUUUCGUCCGAUGAGGAAUGACCAUGAGGCAGGCGGCUCAUCGCCUGCCCUACAGUUGAAGUCAAGAAUAAAACGGCCAACUGAGGCCGAGUUAAAAGAGAAAAUGACCAGGAGGGAGUUGGAAGAUAAAAUAGCUUCCCUCGAGACAAUGAUAAAGAGAGAAAGGUGGCCUCCUAAAGAGAGGGAGGUCCGUAUGGAAAGCGACUCCUCAGCCGAAACGGCCAAGGAGUCAGAAGAGAAGAAACAGAGAGUCAAAGGAAAAUCGGCUGACGAAUCACCGGCCGAGGUGAAUAUGGUAGACGCUCUGCCUCAAUCCUUCAAAGCAGAAUUUGUUGAGUACGAGGAAUUCAGAGAAGAAGAAGAAAAUGGGAUUACCGUAGCCCAAUUGCAGCUAGAGGAUGUUCGACAGGCCGAUGCUGUGGUUUUUGGGAAACCAUCGGCCAUGCAGAAGAGGUUCAUCAGGCCUCUCUUUAUAAAAGCUUUAAUAGAAGGCCGGCCGGUAGGCCGAGUUAUGGUAGACGGCGGCGCUAUGGUCAAUGUGAUGCCUACUUCUUUUUUCAGGAAGUUGGGCAAAGAUGAAGACGAAUUGAAGCCCACCGAUUCAAUUAUGACCGAUUUUACAGGAAACGGUCAACAAGCUCGAGGAGUGCUCACCACCGAACUCACGGUAGGUUCAAAAACUCUAAAAACUGCGUUUUUCGUAGUGGAUGCAGAUAGCCACUACAAUUUGCUUUUGGGAAGAAAUUGGAUACACUCAAAUGAGUGUGUACCCUCUACACUCCACGAAAAAUUGUUCCAGUGGAUAGGAGAUAAGGUGGAAGAAGUCGGGGCCGAAGGACGACCUCAAAUGAUAGAUGUCAACAUGGAGGACAUCGGCAACACCAAUUGGACCGAUGCUGAUUCGGAUCAGAUUUCGUUUGUGAGAGUGACGGAGGAGGGGAUUCAAUUAAUUCUCUCCAAAGACAUCAAUGCUAUGGUGGCUGAUGAGAAGCCACCUAAAUAGUUAAAAUGGAGUCCCAAAAAUCGAGAAUAGAGGCUGGGCAUAAGCCUCUACAAGACGAGCCGAUCAACAAGAUCGGCUAUGGAGAUGAUUCGGCUGCUAUAGCCGAUGUGAUAGCACCCGACAAUUCGGCCAAUAAGGCCGAAGAAGCCAUAAAGGAUUCGGCUCAUAAAGCCGAGGAAGAAAGCCAAAUGAAAUCGGUCUUUGAGACUAAUGAAUCAUAUGAGAUGAAUAGGCAAACAACGAAAAUGAAGCUAGAAGAAUCGCCUAUUAAAGCCGGCGAAAAAAAGCUGGAGACCCAGGAUUUGUUGAUAGAAGUAAACCUAGGGUCCUAUGAAGAUAACAGGCCGACGUUUAUAAGUUCCAAGCUGUCGGCUCAGCAACAGGAAGAAUUGAAGAAACUGUUGAAGGAAUACAAGGACUGCUUCGUCUAGAGCUAUGAAGAAAUGUUAGGUCUAAGCCGAGAGAUCGUAGAACAUCGGCUGCCCAUCAAAAAAGGGUUCAAGCCUUUUAGACAACCGGCUCGUAGGUUUGAGCCGAGUAUUGUACUUCAAAUUAAAAAUGAAAUUGAAAAUCUUUUAAAGGCCGGAUUUAUUAGAGCGGCCCGUUAUGUUGAUUGGGUGUCUAAUAUAGUUCCAGUGCGUAAAAAGAAUGGCAAACUUAGAGUUUGUAUUGAUUUUAGGAAUUUGAAUUUAGCUACACCUAAAGACGAAUAUCUAAUGCCAAUAGCCGAUAUGUUAGUAGAUUCGGCUGCAGGUAAUGAGAUACUGUCCUUUAUGGAUGGACAUGCUGGUUAUAACCAAAUUUACAUUGCUGAGGGAGACAUGGCUAAAACGGCUUUUAGAUGCCCCGGUUCAAUUGGAACCUUUGAAUGGGUUGUUAUGCCGUUCGGCUUAAAAAAUGCCGGAGCUACUUACCAGAGAGCAAUGAAUUUUAUUUUUCAUGAUUUAAUCGGCAAAAAGUUGGAAGUAUAUAUCGAUGAUAUAGUUGUAAAAUCCCAAUCACAAGCCGAGCAUUGGAGCGAUUUGAAACUCGCCUUUGAGAGAAUGAGAAAAUAUAAUUUAAAAAUGAACCCUUUGAAAUGCGCUUUUGAAGUUUCUGCAGGAAACUUUUUGGGAUUUUUAGUGCAGAAAAAAGGGAUCGAAAUUGAUAAAAAUAAGGCGAGAGCAAUACUAGAAUUACCGCCACCCAAGUGCAAAAGGAGCUACAAAGUUUGCUGGGAAAGAUUAAUUAUCUUCGGCGGUUUAUAUCUAACUUAGCUGGAAAGAUCGAGGUUUUUACUCCAUUACUUCGGCUGAAAGAUAAAGAAGAAUUCAUUUGGACAGAGGAACAGCAGGAGGCAUUCGAAAAUAUAAAAAGAUACUUAUCAAAUCCUCCAGUAUUGGUACCUCCGAAGACAAAUCAGCCGAUGAAAUUAUAUAUAUCGGCUGCAGAAGAAAAUUUGGGAUGCUUAUUAGCUCAAGAAAAUGAAGAAAAUGAAGAACAAGCCAUUUAUUAUUUAAGCUGACGUCUUUUAGAUACUGAAAAAAGGUAUUCGGCUAUUGAAAAGCUAUGUUUGGCUUUAUAUUAUUCAUGUGCGAAGUUAAGAUAUUAUAUUUUACCAACUGAAGUAUCGGUAAUAUGUAAAACCGACUUGGUAAAAUAUAUGUUAUCUAAACCAGUAUUAAGGGGGCGAAUCGGAAAGUGGAUAUUAGCUUUAUCCGAGUUUUCUCUUAAUUAUGUUCCCGCCAAAGCUGUUAAAGGUCAGGCUAUAGCCGACUUUCUGGCUGAUCACCCAUGUGUAGAGAUUGUGGAGCCGAAACAGAGUUUAAUCGGCUGUCAGCCUUGGGUGUUGUAUUUUGAUGGUUCAAAAACAACCAAAUCUGCAGGAGCAGGGAUAGUAAUACAAUCUCCUGAAGGUUAUGUUUCUCAAUUUGCAUUUGAAUUAGAUUUCGGCUGUUCUAACAACCAAGCCGAAUAUGAGAUCUUGAUAAUCGGCCUCGAAAUAUUGCAAGAAUUGAAAGCAAAAUCAAUCAAAGUCAUCGGUGAUUCACAGUUGGUGAUCAAGCAGGUUAAUGGAGAAUACCGAUGUGAGAAUCCAAAUUUGCAAAAUUACUUGAAGAAGACAAUAGAACUAUUAUGCAAUUUCGGAGAAGCCGAAUUUGAACAUUUGAGCAGAUAUGAAAAUGAAAAGGCAAAUGAAUUGGCCCAAUCGGCUUCAGGAUACAUAGAGCCGAAGUCAAAGUUAAUAGUAAUACAGAGGAGAUUACUACCUUCGGUUCAUAGACGAGAACCGAUUAUAGCUCCUAUAGGAGUGAAAGAAGAUUGGAGAAAGCCAUUAAUCAAAUAUUUAGAGGAUCCUAAUAUAAGGGUCGAUUAUAAUAUUCGAAGAAGAGCUCUCGGCUAUUGUUUGUUGGAUGGUCAACUUUACAAAAGAACAGCCGAAGAAGUUCUAUUAAAAUGCUUAGGGCCCGAAGAAGCUCUAUUAGUGAUGGGAGAAACACAUGAAGGAAUAUGUGGAACCCAUCUAGCAGGAAAAAAGUUAAGAUGGACAAUUCGGCAUCUAGGAUAUUAUUGGCCGACUAUGCAUCAAGAUUGCAUAGAGUAUGCUAAGGGUUGCCAAGAAUGUCAAUUUCAUGGCUCGAUACAGAGGGUUCCUGCCUCUGAGAUGUACGCCAUAAUUAAACCAUGGCCUUUUCGGGGUUGGGCCAUAGAUUUAAUUGGAGAAAUUCAGCCGAAUUCUUCGGUUGGUCACAAAUUUCUAAUAGUAGCCAUCGAUUAUUUUACUAAGUGGGUGGAAGCCAAACCUACUCGGUUGGUUACUCAAAAAGAAAUUGUCGAUUUUGUAGAAGACCAUAUAAUUUAUCGCUUUGGAAUUCCCGAGACAGUCACAACCGAUCAAGGGACAAUGUUCACAGGAGGACAGUUCGUUCGGUUCAUCGAGUCUCGAAAGAUAAAGUUGCUUCAUUCUUCGCCUUAUUAUGCCCAGGCAAAUGGACAAGUAGAAGCAGCAAAUAAAAUAAUUAUCAACCUUAUGAAGCGACAUAUCGGAAAACACCCGAGAAAGUGGAAUGAAAAACUUUCCGAAGUAUUAUGGGCAUGCCGAACUUCAGUGAAAACGGCAACAGGGAUGACACCGUUUCAGUUAGUUUACGGUCAUGAGGCCGUAAUUCCAGCCGAAAUAACAGUUCCUUCUUUGAGGAUAGAAAAACAAAAAGAUUUGUCGGCUGAUGAAUAUAGUAGUUUAAUGAUGGACAAAGCAGAAGAAGUAUGUGAUACUCGGCUGAUAGCUUUAGACAAUAUACAAGCAUACCAAAGCCGAGUGCGUAGCGCAUACAAUAAGAAAGUUCGAUCAAAGACAUUUGUCGUCGGUGAUUUAGUACUUCGGCUGAUUUUUCCAAUCGGUCAAAAAGAUCGAAUGUAUGGAAAAUGGUCCCCAAAUUGGGAAGGACCAUUUCAGAUUAGCCGAAUCACAAGAGGAAACGCAUAUUAUUUACAAAGCAGAGAUGGGUCAGAAAAUGAAAAACCAAUUAACGGAAAAUAUUUAAAGAGAUAUUACCCAUCCAUGUGGGAGAAUAAUUAAAAUCAGAGUUAGAAUAUUACAAGCCGAAUCAGGACAAUAAGUCUUUGAGUUGAUUCCAUUCGGCUAUGAGAUUGGCUUGGGCGGUCUCAGCAGCUUUCCUUCGGCGCUUCAUCAAAGGAUGGACUUUGUAAAGUUGAGAAAGCUCCUCUUUAAGCCUUAUCCCUUCUUCCUUUUUGGACUUCAGUAGAUCUUUUAGUUGAAGUCGGCGCUCAGAGGUUUGUGCGAGAGUAGAUUCGGCUGCGGCUAACUCUUCUUUAAGAGUAGAAAUCCGUUGUUGUAGAGCCGAUUCUUGAUCAGCCAAUUCCUUAUCCUCUUGAUGCACUUCAGUAGGCGGAGCUGCUAUAUCAGGGAUAUUCUUUUUAAAAUGAUCAACACGAUGAAAAAGUUGAUCUAAAGCUACAAGUUCGGCGCCCAAAGAUCGCUGUCGAGCCAAAAAAGAUGAAAGUUAAAGUGAUAAGGUUGCUACAAAAUAUUUUAUGCCGGGAGUAAUAUCUAAUUGAUUGGCCAAAUCAAGUAAAAGGGCAUAUAGCUGGUCAAAUUGUUCUGGAUUCUGAGCUAGACCAGAAAUACCAAUGCUAUACAUUUUAAGGCAUUCAUCGAACUUAUUCUGGGUGUCUGAUGAAAUGGUAAUGGUCGAAGAAUCAUCCUCUUCAUUGGAGCUGGGGCUUGAAAUAAAAAGAGAAUGAAGAAUCGCAGAUAAAGGAUCAUCAGCAAUAGGGGAAGAAGCUCCCUGGGGUGAGCGGGGAGGAAUAGUGCUUGUGUCUUCAGAAGUUCGCCCGAGAGGUAUGUUUAUCUGUUCAUCCCCUGUAGUUGAUGUCGGGGCAGGAGCAGAAAAAGAUGAUGCAAUCUCACUGGGUAACGGCGUCGUGCUCGCUGUUUCAACAGAUUUCUUCUUCUUUUCCAUUCCUUUCUUUUUCUCGAGACGGGCUUCCCUGCGAAGCUGCCGUUCCAUCUGCAUCUUCGAAUAAUGAGCAAAAUGGGCUCGUUCAGGAGAAGACUGUAGUUUAAAAGAAAGUAAUAAAUAAUUAAGAAAUAUUCUUUUCGUACAACCAGUUAAUUUGGUUUACCCUGACAUCAAUCGUUUCGGUUGGAACAGCGGUAGCCAAAGAGGGUGUAGUAGCUUCUUUGGAUGGAAUGUCAGUCGAAGGAAUAUCCUCGGCUCUGUCUUUAGUGGUAUCAGCCGAAGGGGUACUUUCGGCCUGUUGGAAUUUUCUUUUAACCACUGACUUACGCCGUUUGGAAGACGACGGGGGAGUGACUUGAACAACUUCAAUCGGUCUUUUGUCUGAAGCUGAGAUCGAUGGAGAAGCAGGAAUCGACUGAAAACAGAAAUAAACAAAAAUGGUGAGCAAAAAAAAAUAAUUAUGAUUAAGAUGAGUGGAAAAAUGAUAUUUUACAGAGGAAGAAGGCGGGGCAUCAGAAAUAGUGUCUAGUGGAGACUCAAUCUCGGUUAGAGAAUCUCUGCUCGGAGUGGUGGCUGUGUAUAAAAUAAAAGAUAAGUUACAGCCAUAUUAGAAGGAAAUUAUAAACAAAAAUUAGAUGACUGACCAAAUGGAUGGAUGAUUUUACGGAGUGCUCGAGGCAGAGAAAGAUCAUAGGAGCGGUCAGUAAACUGAUCCCACAUGGUAGCAUAACCGGCGAGGGCUACCCCUGUAUAGUUCGGACGGAAGCUUGCCAGCUAGAAGAAGGGUCUGAGACGAUUCCCCAUAGCCGAAAGCUUGUCAGCUUCAAAUAUGCUCUUGGUGGGAGGACGAUGAUCGGCUGUGUUGGCCGUAAAAAAUUUAGAAGGGGCCGGGAUCGGCUAAACGAACCCAAAUUGCCGUGCCACAUACUGAGGAGAAUAAACCUCAGUACUCGGCAGUAGUUUCGAACGUGAUUUAAGCCCCACAUGAAGGUCCCGAGGGGCUAGAUACGAAUACCAUACAUCUGAAUGUUCACCGGCGCGAGAAGAAGAUAACUCGCCCUGAAUGGCUUCAAACCGAGCCAGAAACCAAGAGAGGCCGGUGAGACGAUCAACAAAUGGAGCCCAAAAAAUAGCUGAAUCAGAGGCUGGCUCAUAAAAAGCCUUAAAAUAAGUAAGAAAAUCAGAGGAUUGACCAGAGGUCAUCGGCUGCGGACAACCGAGGGCUAGCCCAUAAGAAUCAAAUUGGGCAGCUGAAGUCGGAUUGAAAGAGGAUUGGCAUAAAGCAGGAAUAUAGAAUUGAAGAAACAUUUGCAGAAACCAAAAAACGCCACACCGAGAGCUGAUGGCAAUGCCAUCACCGGAAGGUAGUGGCUUAAUAGAAUCAAAAACUUUCCUGUAAACGAAAGCAAGGAAAUAUGGCCCCAAGGCCAAUUUAUCGCCGUUAGCUAAACCAACGGCGAUUGGAACAAAAUCUCGGUUAAUUUUCUGCGAAUGAGUGCAGAAAAGAUUGUGGCAUAACCAGUAUAGAAGGAACGUCGUGUGUUCCUUCCUGGUGACCGGGGCAGGGGAUUUACCUGCAAAUUUUUGAAAAAAUUUAGAAUAAGCCAAAUCAUUUAGAUCAAGGUGUGCCUCAAAAUCAGACACACCGUCAGGAUUGUAGGCCAUAGAGAGAGUAAUGCCAUGAGGGCGUAAGCCAACAAUGGCGGCCACAUCAAAAAGAGUGAGGGUAAGAGGCCCCCUUUUGAAAAGAAAAACAUUAGAAACAGAGGAUCAGAAACAAAGAGCAGCGGCUAGAAGAAGAUUAUCGGCUAUAGGAGGGUGCCGAGAUAAUUGAAUUGCUUCAUAAAUGCCGAUUUCUCGCCAGAAGGCGCAAAAAACGGAUUCUACUCUAUCUAACCAGGCCAAAUAUGCUUCAGAAACACUUGGCCAGGUUCUGAGACUCUUUCCUGUUGAAGCUGAUGAGUACCAAGAAUGGAGAUGAAUAAUCCUUUUCCAAGGAAGUCCCUCAUCAGAGAAAGGGGAGUCAGUAGAAGAUGGUGCAUCUACAAGAGAAGGACCUAGUAUGAAUCUAGAUGGAUCUAAAUCAAUGAAAGGUUUGAGUAUAGUGUAGUCAAGAGAUGGAUGAGAAGGAAGAGGAGGAACCAAAGACAUUGUUCAAAAGAAGAGAAGAGCCGAAAGAAUCGGUUACGAAAUGAGAAGAAGGAUGAAGGAGACAAAGAAGAGGUUUUAGUGAAGGAUAUGAGGAAAAGAAAUAAGAAUUGGAUGAGACAAAAAAAAUGGGAAGCUUGAGGAAGAAGAAAAGGCCGUCAUAUUGAACUGUCGCUUCGAUUACGAGUCCCAAGGUCGGCUGUAAUGAUGAAUAGACAGCGGCAAUUAAGAUGAGUUAAUUAAUGCCGCACAUGAGACAAAAGUAGAGAAUGCGAUCGGGGCCGUAAAGAAGAGAAUAAACGACUUAGAUUAAACCGUACAGAAGAUCGUAGUGCAGAAUACGUCAGAGAAUUUGAAUUUGAUUGGACCGAGAAAUAUGCCUCGGAUCAAGUCCGCUUUCGGCAACAGAAAUUGUUUGAGACGAAAAAAGUAACGCCAGCUACCGAAGCAUCGCUUCGAAAACUGGCGAGGGGACAAUUGUUGACCAGUUAGGCGCGAACAAUUGGCACGCCGGGUCCAUAUCCGUAAGACGGCUAAAACGGUAGACCUAGAGUACACCGGACGCAUACGAGCCGCACUGGACCGAGGAGUUAUAACAACGACAAGCAGUUACGAGCGGUUCCGAUCGGCCGAAGGUGGUCCUACGAAUCAGGAGAUAGUGGCUGAUCGUGCAAGAGCAAUAACUGAUGCAAAGGCGGUUCUAUAAAUAGGCAUACGAUACUCUGAAAAAGGGUCUUCGCCCCUGCGCACAAAAGACCACCUUUAUUUUUCUACAUCUUUCUAUUCUCGCAUUUACUGCUUUCCUUAGGAGUAGUUUCAGUAAUUUAACAUACUCGGAGUCUGUCUGCCGUACGGGCAUCACUCCCCUGUUUCCAUACUUGGAGUCUGUCUGCCCUACGGGCAUCACUCCUCUAUUUGUGUACUUUUUCUUUUGCUAUUCAUCUUCGGCUCUUCCUGCCGAUCAGAUCACAAGUUGUUUGGCCAUUCGGCUCGUUUCUUAGUCGAAUUCUAGGCUUCCCCUCUCCAUUCGGCUCAUCCUGCCGAAGCGAAUUUACUGCGGAGGUUUUCGAACCCGGCUGAUUCUAUCCCUCAUCGGCCUAAUCGCUUGAUCCUCUGUGGGCGCAUACUUCGAGGGUCAUAAUCCGCAGCCGUCUCGCAUCCCGAUGAUCUUUCCGAGAAAAAUUAUUGACCGGGUCAAGGGUCUGGAUAUUCGGCACGCAACAAUUUGUAUGCCUUAGGGACCAAUAAAAGUUUUAUUUUUCUCACAAACAGAAACGAAAGAAAGAAAAGGGGUCAUCUGACCCAGCUCGUUCCAUAUAUGGCGUCACUUAUUCUCGCUGGAGAAGCAAAAGAAAUAGGGUUUGCAUGAUCCGUGGGCAUUCCGUGCAUGCUAUUACUGUUUCUCAUUUAUAAAAUUAGGAAAAAAAACAACACGUAAAAAAUAAAAUAACUAAUAUGUAAAAGUACAAAGGGUAACUUGCACCUUUGGGGCUCAAACUAUAAAGUAAAAUAUUUUGAUCCUCAAAUUUUAAUUUAUAGUAAAUUUUAAUUUAAAUUUUUAAAAUUAUCGUAAUUAAGUUUAACAAUCUAAUUUAGUUAUUUAAAUAUUAACAUAUUAUUAAUAUAAAAAUAUUAUAAUAUUUUAAUUAUUAUUACAUUAUCAAUCACGUAUUUUCACAUCAAUUUUAGUUAAUAAUUUAUCAAUAUUUUACUAACUAAACUAUUUAUGAAAUUUAAUGAUACUAAUUUUAAAAAAUUUUGAUCAAAUAAUUAUAAUAAACUAAAAUUUAAAAAUUAAGGUUUCACGUGACUAAUAGCUUUGAGAACCAAAUGUGCAAUUUAUCCAAAUAUUAAUAAAGUAAAAUAUUUGUAAGAAAAAUAUCUAGUUGGGAAAGCAUUAGGCCUUUCCGAUUUGGCAUUAGUGUUCAGAUCUUUCUUAAAGCGUGAGAUGGGUUCUUUGUCCUAUAUAUGAUGACUUGCAUUAAGACAGGCUAGACUAAUAAAUUACCAAUCUCUCUCUCUCUCUCUCUCUCUCUCUCUCUCUCUCUCGGUAUGUGAUUAUGUGAGUUGCAUAACUUGCAUUGAAUACUUUGUUUGGGGAUUUUUUUUGCAAAUAGCCUCCUUACAAAUUUUUUUUUGUAAAUUGGGCUUGUCAAAAAUUUAUUUGCAAAAAUAGUUCUGGCCCCGCCACGCAAGCGCCACGUCAGCGCCACGCGGGCGGGGCUGUGCCAAAUGGUUAAGUUGAAAACGGUGAAUCAUUCACCGUGUUCAAUACAAAGUUUUUGUAUUGGACACGGUGAAUGAUGAAUAAUUCAUCGUGUCCAAUACAAAAUAGCUAAGAUCGAAAUAUUUGUAUUGGACACGGUGAAUGGUUCACCGUGUCUAAUACAAAUACUUCCAACUUAGCCAUUGUUGGGGUAUUUGUAUUGGACACGGUGAACCAUUCACCGUGUCUAAUACAAAAAUCUUGUAUUAACACGGUGAAUGGUUUACCGUGUUUAACUUAAACAUCUGGGCCCGUCCUGCCCGCGUGGCGCUGACGUGGCGCUGACGUGGUAGGGACAGGACUAUUUUUGUAAAUAAUUUUUGGACGAAAUUAUUUUUACAAAUAAAAUUUGUCAAGACGCUAUUUGAAAAAAAAAAAAAAAAAAAAAAAAAAAAGCCCUUACUUUGGUAAUUAGGAAUCUCUCUCUCUUGGCUAGCCAUGUGACCCAUUUCCCACUGCCAACCGUACACAUCAAACCUCGCUCCAUCACCAACUCCCAACCCAAUAUAUUAUUGAAAAUCUCACUCCUCUCUGCCGCCCGUCCCAGUAUUUUUUUCCCUCUUACAUAUCUCUCUCCAAACUCUCAAACCUUUCCUCUUGACUGUCUUCGUCAUCUUCGACGCAGUUGCAGUGAGACACGCACAGAGAGAGGGGAGAGAGAUGGGGAGGUCAAGAGGAGGCAGCGGCGACGGACUUCGAGUUCGCGGUGUCGCUGUCGCCGACGUCGAGGCGGCCGCUGGCGUUGUCGUCGCAGCAGCUGUGCCCGGCGGACGAGCUGUUCUACAAGGGGCAGCUGCUGCCGCUCCAGCUGUCCCCCCGCAUCACCAUGGUGCGCGCCCUCCUCCUCGCCUCCUCCUCGUCCUCCGCAUCCUCCGACACCACCACCGCCACCACCGCCUCCCGCGACUCCAACGGCAGCACCUCCUCCUCCUUCUCCGCCGAGCUCUCCGCCGCCGACUCCUCCGCCCGUCCCAGCUCCGCCACUGACGACGCCCCUCCCGCCGCACCCGCCGAAGCGCGGCCCCAAAUACCUCUCCUCCUUCGCCUCCCGCUUCUCCUCCGUCUUCCUCCACCGCGGCGGCAGCAAGAAGGACCACCACCUCGCCGACCUCCACGACAUCCCCCUUUCCUCCUCCUCCUCCUCCAGAUCCGCCAAUUAUUCCUCCUCUUCCUCCUCGUCCACAAAAGAAGUGAUCAAGAAGUACGUCAAGAAGGUGAAGCCGCUGCUCUACGAGAAGCUGUCAUCGCUGCAGCAGAUCAGGCAGCAGCAGAAUCAGCAUGAUCAGCAGAAUCGAAACAAGAAAUCCUUCACAUUCUCCAUCAGAAAGGAUAAGUCCGCUGCCAAACGGGCCAACGGCGAUCGUGGCAGCGACGGAAUCUCCGACGGCAGCGGUCGGAGAUCGAAAAUCAUCUACAUGCACUCCAACUCGUUCUCCGGCAACCUCAAGUUCCCAAGAAAGAAGUCCAGCGCUGCCAGCUGCCCCUCUUCGAUGCGCUCGUCGCCAACGCACUCCGGACUCCUCUCCAUAGGCGGCGGGGUCAGCGGUGGCUUCCCAGAUCUCAAUCGAGCUCUUUCGUCGUCGGCGAGCUCGUCGUCCAUGGAGGAGCUGCAGAGCGCCAUACAGGGCGCCAUCGCGCACUGCAAGAGCUCCAUGAUUCAAACAGCUAAUCUUCAGAAGAAGUCGGCGUCCGCUGCAGUAAACAACGACGACUAAUUUAUAAGAUCCGCGGAUCCUAAUGAAUUGACGACGAUCAUCAAAAAAAAGUUUCAGUUUUUACUCCUUUUGUACGUGUUUAGCUUGGGAAAAUUAGAGGUAAUUGAAACUUGUAGUUAGUGGUGGAUCUAUGUUAAGUGUUGAUUCGCUUCUGAUAUUUGCUCGAUUGGUUCGUGUACUUUGCUGUCAAUUUUGUGUGGGAUCAUACAUCUUUGAAAGAUCAAUGAAAUUAUCUUGCAAAUUAUUUAAGCAGGUUCAAUCAGAUUAAGGUGCUUAAUUUUCUCAUAACAGCACUUGCCACAAUUAAAUUUUCUCAUAACAGCACUUGCCGCAAUUAAUUUUUCUCAUAACAGCACUUGCCGCAAUUAAUUUUUCUCAUAACAGCACUUGCCACAAGCCAAAUUAAUUAAGGAAGGCGAUCCAAUCUUGGUCUGGCUCUGUUCGCAGAAAGGGCAUCUGCAUCUGCACUCUGCAGAUGGGUGACGCCGGUGGUAGACAGACAGGAGGCCAGCAGCGGCACGAGGCAUGCCAGGGGGGGACAGUGCCGAGCUGGCUACACUGGUUAUCUGUUAUUUAUUAAUCAUUACUAACCCUCGUCACAGGAAAAAAUUCUAGAAUACAACGAAUAUAUUAGUGACGUGGCGUAACAAAUCAAUCAAAUAUCUCUUUUUAUGAGUAUAUGUUCCAUCAUGAUUGUAAAAAAAUAUUUUUAUUGUACUUUUAUUUGAAAAAAAGGAAUGUGAUUGACUUGUUAUUAAUGACGUGGUGCAAGUGUGACAGUGUAGAUUUCCUCCGUCACAUAGUACAAUACUGUGGAGAGAAAUAAUCAUAAUUUUAGAAAAAAUAUUAUAUUUUAAAUAUUUUUGUUAUGAAAAAAUUGGAAAUUUUAGUUUGUCCAAUACAAAAAAUCAAUGACGAAGAAAGCCAAAAAAUAAAAUCUAAGCGAAAUGCACUCUUCCAUGCUACUUUGUGCCAAUACAGGACGGCAAGCAAAAUCAGAUUAGCAAAAUUAGAUUAUAUAUAUUGGGAUAAUAUCCUAUAUACUCCUCACACGUUUGAAAAUAUUAAUUUACUCCUCUUUUUUUUUUCUUUUUAGAAUACCCCUCAUAUGUUCCACCGUUAUUACAAAAUACUCCCGCAGUUAUCUCCUGUUAAGUUAACUUGGGUUAAGCGUGAGUUAAAUAUCUACCACAGUUAAAAAAAAUUAAAAUAUCAAUUUUACCCUUAACUUAAGGGCAAAUAAGAAAUGUUGGUGACGGUAGAGGGUUAUAUUGGAAAAAACUAAAAGUCAAAAUACUUUUUGUGCCAUUAACUUUAAGGGCAAAUAAGAAAGACAGUGAAGGUGGAAGGGUACAUUUGAAAAGGCAAAAUAGUAAUUUUACAGAAAUAACAGAGUUAAUUAACAGAUUUUAACUCUAGGGGUAUAUUAGAAAUAGGUUGGAACGUAGGAAGGGUAUUUUCAAUAUUAGGCUUCUAAGAGAGGUAAAUCGGAAAGUCGGGAACUUUACAGGGGUAUAUAAGCAAUUGCCCCAUAUAUAUUUAUAUAGAGUUCGGUUGCUUGCUUCUGGUAACACAGAAUUUGCUGCUACAAUUUUUUUCACUAUUAGGGAUAGUCUCCAAAACAGAGUAAUUAUCCAAUUUACAGUUUAUUUUUUAUAGCUCUUGAAACAUUACAAGAGACAUGUUUGUAUAAGUUUUGAAAUUGUAAAAAAAAUAGCAAAAUAAGCUCAAAAUAGAAUUUCUUUGGUGGAAAAAAUAGUAAAAAUCACUUUUUUUUUUUCCCCCAAAGAACGCAUCCAACCUCUUUCCUCUUACCCUUUACAUCCUCCACCACCACCUCCUUCUAGACUCCGCCGUUGAUACUCACGAGCUCUUCCACUCCGUCAACCGCGCGCCCCUCCACCACCCGACUCUCUACCGCUAGCAUCGCGGCCAUCCGCCGCCACCACCCUCUACUUCCGCCACCGCCCCCCAACCUCCUACUCUUCUUCUUCUACCUCUACUACCUUCUCCUCCUCGAGAUUGUGGUGUUUUUCCUCGUCGUCAGUUGCCGCCUCCAUCGCCGCCACCAUCUACCUCCGCCGCCGCCGCCCCCCAACCUCCUACUCUUCUUCUUCUACCUCUGCUACGUCCUCGAGAUUGUGAAGUUUUUCCUCACCGUUGGUUGUUGUCGCCGCCAACAAGCGUUCCCGCUCCAAGAUAGGGCAUCGAUGAAUUUUUCGUACUAGGUUGUCACAGCAGAGGGUGAUGACAAAGGUGGGAGGGAUGGGGAGAUUGUGGGUUUGAGUAAGAAGGUGAAGGUGGUAGGGUUGGAUUUGAGCAAGGAGAAGGUGGUGGUAGUGGAUUUUUUUUUUUCACAUCACAUUAUUUUUUGGGGAUUUGAACCAAACACUAAAAAACAGUGUAAAAAAAUUAUAGAGUUUUAAAAUUUUUGUACCAACAUAUUACAGCAAAAUAUAAAACUUUAUUUUAAAUUCCUAUAAUUGCCAAACAAACCCUUAGAUUUAAUACUUGGAUCAUUUCUACAUCUACGACCAUGGUAUUCCAUCAACCACCACUAAAUCUAAUGGGACCAUUAUCACCCUAACUCCACAACCCUUUGAUUCAAGGGCCAAAAAUUCACAAGCACGGAUGAGUUGGUGCUAUUAGAAGCAUUCCUGCCUAGUUCUAUAUAUUGCUCGGCUGGAGUGCUUCUAAUAGCACCAAACAUUUAUUGUUAUAAACUUUUCCAUCAUUAGAUUUAGGCUAAAUUAUAGAAACCUUUCUGUCAAUACCCACUUUUUUACUUUUUCUCACCGACUAUUAGAAAUCUAUAUUUUACCCCCUUAAAAAAAUAUAUAUAUUCACUUCGGAUGCCACUGUCAGUGUUCCGUUAGGGUUUCGUCUAUAUCCUAUUACUAUAUUUUUAUACCCAAAAUACCCUUGUAUCCCUUCUCUUCGCAGCGUUGUCUCUCUUCUCGCCGAUGACAUCCUCGGCCAUGCCCCCUCGCCCUCUUCUGCCGUCUCGCCCUUGCCCAUCCCUCCAUCCAUGUCCAAUCCAAUGCACUCGCCUUCCUCUGCCGUCUCACCCUUGCCCACCCCUCCAUUUGUGCCUACCCUGACCUUAUCCCCAUCGUCACCAAAUAGAGGGGCGGUUGGAUUGUAGGAAGAGCAGAGAGAGCUAGCGGAGCAAGCAAAGUCGAAGUUGGGGUUGAGGGAGGUGCGAAGGACGGAGGAGGAAAGGCUACAAAUAAAGUAGGAUUGGGUAGGACAUGAAGAGGGAGAGGGCAAUUUAGUCAUUUUGUCAUCAUAGUUAACACUGUACCCCUAUAUGAACAUUUUUUAUUUUUUAAGUGGCUAAAAUAUAGGGUUUUAAAAGUCAAGGCGGAAAAUAAAAAAAUGAGUAUUGGUAGGGAUUUUAUGUAAUUUAGCCUUAAAUUUACUCGAUCAUUUCUAUUCAUUGGAUCAUGUUAUUCCGCCAACCACUAUUUAAUUUAAGUGGACCUUUAUCAUCCUAACCCAAAACCUUUUGAUGCAAAAGCCAAAAAUUUACAAGCACUAAUGACUUAGUGCUAUUAGAGGCACUUCACUUUCAAUACAUAAAGUUCAGCUGGGUACUUCUAACAGUACCAAACAAUUGAUAUUACCAAUUUUUUUUACCAUUAAAUCUAUCACUUUGAUCAUUUCUAUUCUUUGGAUCAUGCUAUUCCACCAAGUAUCACUGAAUCCAAGUAUGUCAUUGUCAUCCUAAUUCCAUAACCCUUUGAUUCAAGGGCCAAGAAGUCACAAGCAUCAAAGACUCGGUGCUAUUAAAAACACCCCAGCCAAACUCUAUAUAUAGAGAUAGGUUGUAAUGCUUCUAAUAGCACGAAGCAUUUGGUGCUACCAACUUUUCCACCAUUAGAUCUAUCUCUUUGAUUAUUUUUACCCCUUGAAUCAUAUUAUUCCACCAAUCACCACAAACUCAAGUAGAUUACUAUCAUCCUAAUCCUACAACCCUUUAAUCCAAGGGCGAAAAUGUUAUAUACCGAACUUCUAUAGUUAUAAAGUUUUGGUGGAUGUUAGAAGCUAUUGGAAUUGUCCCGGUGAAGUUCGGGAGCAUUCGAGUGUUUUCGGUGCGCGUUGGACAUGGAAACAGAACCCGAAUAGCUAUGUUGGACUUUGGCCGAGAUCCGGCAAAGCGUGGAUGAAAAGAUGGUCUAAAUGUGCUCGAAAACAUGUUUUGGGGGUCUCGGUACGAUUAGAGACGAAUCGGAGGCCCAACGAGCGAAAACGAAGCAAAACGGAGAAAAGGCUGAAAUUGCUGAAAAUUUGACUAAGUCCUGAAAUUUCGGGGCUGGAGGUACCUACGGGGUCUGGACCCUCUAGCCAAGGUCCAGAACCCGAGCCCGAAAACUGCCCAGUGAGAGUGGCGUACUUGUAAAUAUUGGUCGGGGUUUGACUUUAAAAAGAGGCUACACCCCUUUCUUCUUCCUCCCUCAGCCCAAACACACACACCACACACACUAAGGUAGAGAGAGAAGCUCUUCUCUCUCUCUCUAGAAUACUCCCUUCCCUCUCUAGAUCUCUCUCCCAAAGUUGGGGUUUUGGAGGAGAAGGAGCUUGGGAACGCGAUGGAGGCGACGGUUCGAGUCCUCGUGCACCCGGUUGAGCGGCGUGCUUUCGACUCGGCGUUCGCAUUUUGGUGAGUAUUUGGGACUUGGUUAAAUCCUUCAUGAAUGAUAUUCUAGUAGUCUUUAGGGUAUUCUAAGUAUGUUACUCCACAUAUUUUUGGGGUAUUUAGAGGAUGCAAUCUGAGAGCAAUACUAGGUGGGUUGUGCUUCACCGAAGCGAUUAGGUCGCUUCCGUGCCAAAGUGGAGUAUAGUUGUAUUGUUGAUGCAUAUAAUGGUAGUUAAUUGCAAAGUAAAUAAUGGCAUGAGCUAGAUGCUAAAUAAAUGCAUGAGAUGUAUGCUAAUGAAUGCAUAAGAUAUGUGCUAAGUGAAUGCAAGAGCUAAAUACUAAAUGAAUGUAUAUGAUAUAUGCUAAUAAGGAAUGCAUGUGAUAGAUGCUAAUGAAUGCAUGAGAUUUAUGCUAAUCAAGAAUGCAUGUGGUAAAUGUUAAAGAAUGUAUGAGAUGCUAAGUAUUGACUACCAUUGGAUGAUAAAGUAUAUGCAUGUUGACAUUGUGAGAGUAUGCUAGAUUCAUAUGAAUGUGAACUAAGAUCGAUAAACUCUAAGAAAAGUAAAGAACUCGACAAGUGUGGCAUGUAAAGAAUCCUAAGUGUGGAUAACUAAGAUAACAAGUAUCAUGAGUGGCAUUGAAAUCUAGUGUUACUGAACAUAGGUGAAUCAUGAGUGGCAUUGAACCUAGUGUCAUUGGGCAUAGAUUGAGAAUGAAAUCUAGAGUUAAAUAAACCUAGGUGAGCGGCAUGAAACCUAGUGUCAUUGAACAUAGGUUGAGAAUUGAACCUAGAGUCAAGUAAACCUAGAUUAUGAGCAUAUGGGCAUUGAAACCUAGUGUUGUUGAACAUAGGUGAAUGAUGAGUGGCAUUGAACCUAGAGUUGAGUGGACCUAGGAUGGAAAUGACAUUAGACCUAAUAUAUUAAACUUAGGUUGAGUAAUUGCUUGAACCUAGAAAGGUUGAUAUAGGGUCAGACCAACCCUUGAGACAUGAAAAGUGGAUUCCAGAAUCCCUAUGAAUGAAGGCUGCGAGUGCAGCAGCUGCUAGUGCAGCAGAUGAGACUUGCGACUGAGCGCAAGUGAAUCGUAACUGCGGGUAUGUUGGUUCUCCUUGCCCGACAGUGAUUCAACCGGUAUGUUGGUUCUCCUCGCCCGGUAUGAAAUUGAGCGCUAGGGUGUAUGUGGCAUGUUCCUCUCCCUAUCGGGGGUUUUGGGCCACUGGUGCGUGUGGUAUAUUCCCCUCCCACCGAGAAGAUUCCUGACCACGGGUAUACGCAACUCUGGGCGACCCGUUGGGCGAUGUGGCUUGUGGAUUGAAUGCUAAGGUAUAUGUAAGAGUUCCUUUACCUCGAGCCGGACAGAGCGUGGAUUAUUCGCAGAUGAUUGACUCAAGAUCGAGUCGAGUGGCAUAGUUGGCUAAGGUAAAAGUAACCUUAGGAAAGAAUGGCAAAUGGGCAUAGAACAACUAAUAAUGAAGUAUAGUAAAUAUUAAAGAACGACCAAUAAUAAAGAAUAUCAAGGAAUAAUGAACGGCUAAUGACAAGGAAUAGCAAAUAGUAAAGAAUAAAGAAUGGCAAGUGAUAGAGAGUAGAAUUAAUUAAUCUACUUGCAUGAGUUGCAUAAUUUUGCAUUAUCUUAAUUGUGAGGCAAGAGCAUGAUAGCAAGUAGUUGCAUGAGUAUAUAUAUAUGAUGAUAUCUAUCUAUUGAACUAACUUGCUUUGUUGCCUUCUUUGGACCUGGUGGGUCGAGCUCUUCCCUUGGGUGGCCGUAUCCACUGGGAACUAUGACAAUAGUUCUCACCCCACAUGGUUUUGGGGGUUUUCAGGUUCGCACGCGAGCGGUGCGGUGACUCGAGGUAAGGGCGUAGCUCCGUAGAUAGCACCCUACCACAGAGACCAGAGAUAGCAAUACCCCAAGUCGGCUUAGCUAGGGAUGUAGAAAAGAAAAGACAAGAAUGUAAUAAAGUGUAAAAUGUGGAUUGUAUUUGGAAACAAGAAUCAAAAUGUAAUAUGUAAAUUAAAUGUGGAGAAUGCUUGUAAUAGUAUAGUUGUAUUUAUGUUUUUGAUACCUUCCUUUUACAAUCUGUGUAUGAAUGUUGUUCCUGGUUGGAACCUCGCACAUUGUAUGGAUUGUGACGCCUUUAACGUACAGAGGAAACUCUGUCCGAGGUACAAGAAAAACUCUGCCCGUUCGGCGGUUUGUUGGCGUGCCCGAAUCCGACCAAAUUGGCGGGUCUCGGGGCGUGACAGAAAAAUUCAUAAGCACCAGUAAUUUAGCUCUAUUACAUGCAUUUUAGCGUAGUUAUAUCGACAACUAUCCUUUUAGGAGAACAAAGGGCCGUUGUCCUGUUAAGUCAUUUUUGAUGAUAGCGAUUCUAAAUUUGAUGAUCAGAAAUGUUAAAAUUAAUCUAGAUUAUUUGAAGUGUCUACAAAUCAAUUUCAUAAUUUUUUAAAUUUAUUUACAUAGUAAUAAAAUGAUCAUAAAACCGACAGUUUUUGACAGUCUAUAUGAGCCGUUUGCUUAUUUGAUGGUAUAGAGCAAUCAAAAUGGCUUGAUUUUAUAAAAAAAUUCUUAUUAUUUAAAUAAUAUUUGAUAACUCCAAUAAUGAAUUAAGAAUGUCUAACCUCAAUUUUUAUAUAAGGUUAUUCGUUUUUCAUCUAUUCGAUAGGCUUGAUAAUGAUUUAUUAAAAAUUACGAAACUUGGUUUCUAAAUAUUUCUAAUAGUGUAGAUCAAUUUCAAAGUUGUCGAUUAUCAAUUUGGAGUCCCAAUCAUCUAAAAUGACUUAAUAGGAUAAAAACCUUCAUCCUUUUAAGAGAAUAAUAGUUGGACUACAGAUAUACAUAAAGCCCGGCUUGGGUACUUCUAAUAGCACCAAGCACUUGGUGCUGCCAAGUUUUUCACUAUUAAAUUUACUACUUUAACCAUUUCAAUCCAUUAGGUCAUACUUCAACCAACCACCCACUCAACCCUAGAGAAUCACUAUCAUACUAACCGCACAUCCCUUCAUUCAAUUGCCGAAAAUCUAAUAGCACCAAUAAUUUGAUGCUUUUAAAAUUAUUCAAGCCUAAUUUUAUAUAUAUUUAUAGACUUCGACUAUUAUACUAUCAAUAGUAUAGUGUGUGUGCGCUCACAAGCGUACGGAAAAUCUUACAAUGACAAACAUAAUAAAAAAAAAAUAAAAGAAUAUUCUCUUGAUAUUUAAUCUCGGUAUUUAAUGAAAAAAAGCCUAAUUUAAGGAUAAGAUUAAAUAACCGUGCUUAAAAGAAUAUUCCGUUGGUAUUUAAUCUCGAUAUUUAAUAAAAAAAAUUCAUUUCCAAAUUUAAAUAUGUGUAACUAAACGUAUCAAAAUUUUAAUUCACCUAAAAUUUAAUUGAUUUACUUUAAUUGAAAUUUUUAAUUAUUCAUUCAAAUUUGAUAUCCAAAAUUAAAUUUAUAUCAUGAUUUAAGGACAAUUUUUAAUUUUAAUUUUAAUUUUAAUUUUUAUAUUUAAAUUUAAAUCGUAUAAUUUAAUUUCAAGUAUCAAUUUAACAUGAAAUAAAAAUUUAAAAUUAAAUAAGAUUAAAAUUUAAAAAUAUAUUUGAAAGUAAAUUUGAAUUUGAUUGUUGAAUAAAUAUAAUGUACAAAUUUAUAUUAAUUUGAAUAAAUUAAAAUAAUUAUUAUGUGAAUUUGCACGGUACUUCUUAAAACACCGUGGCUCAACUUUCUCACUACUAUUAAAAGAAUCAGUUAAAAAAAAUGUCUGUCAAUGUUAACCGUUUUUACCUUCAUAAAAAUCAACUUUUCUCUUUAUAUCCUCCAAUAAUUAUCUAACUCUAUCAUUUCAUUAACUUCCCCCAGUAAAGAAUAUCUCUCGUGUUAAAUUUGGUUUAAAUUUAUAGUUAUCUAAAUUGAGAUUAAAUCCUAAUAUAAUUAGGAUUAGAUAUAAUUUAGAUUUAAUUUGGUAUAUAUAGAUUAUAAGUAGAAGUGUAAUUCUAAUUGAAUUAGGAUUCGACUCUAGUUAGGAGACAUGUAUUAUAUAUACAUGCUACGGCCAAAUUAAAGAAGCACGACAACUCUAAUAAAGCCAUACAAAUUAAAGCCAGAUCUCUAUAGUGAAGCCAUGCCUAAUUAAGCUCUUAAUUAAGUCCAAGCCACCUGUGCUUCUUUGGGGCUGGUAGUCACGUUGCGGCGGUGCGAUGCGCAUUGCAUAGAGAGCAGGCUUAGCCAUCUCUUUCGGAGAUCUAAUUAAAGGGGAGACCAUGCAAAUUAAUUAAGCCUUUUUGUGGUCCAUCCGUACGGUUGAGGAGCCGUGCUGUUUUUUUUUUGGAGUCGCAUGUGCGGAUGCGGAUUUCGGCGUUUCUGAUCUAAAAUAGAGUUCGGGUUCUUUGAGAGAUUUUCUAUGUACUCCGUCUUUUGACAUUAAUUAAAUAUUUGCUCCAUCCUUGUCCGUGGACGUAGGCCGUUGGCCGAACCAUGUAAAUAUCGGUGUGCUCUUUUCUCUUUUCUUUUCUUUUUUGUAUUAAGGGAUUUUCUGGAUUUAUUUUUUGUCGUUUCGAUUUUAACAUCUCACCCAAAAUCUCUCAAUAUGAUAACUUUGCCAACCACCCCCCAAAACUCCUCCUAUAACAAAUGCAUUGCAAAAAUUAUGGUCUUGAAGCGUGUAAGUUCACUUUUUUAAGGUGAUAUUUGCCCCCACUGAAUGUAUGCUGUCAGGUUACCAGCAAAUCACUUUCAGAAUACAGUAAGACCACCGAAAGACUGCAAACAAUACUUUUAAAGACUUUUCCUUAAAAACUUCUCUAUUAUUAAUCGGUAUGAAAACUUAGAAAGGAGAAAGAAUUGAUUAUGCUGCUCUUGAAGCCAUCAUACAUCUCCUAUUUAUAGGAGAUGAGUAGUUACGAUAAAAGGACAUAAUUUUUAAAGUUAUAUUUUUUUCACAAAAGGAUACUUCCUUUCACAAAUAGUGAAAAGAUAUAUUUUUUCACAAAAGGAUUCAUCUCUCUGUAAAGAAACAUAUUUUUUUGUAAAGAAACACAUCUUUGCAUCAAAUGAAAAGACAUUUUUUUAUUUGAAUUACUAAUUCACCAAAGAGAUACA